rnacentral:lncRNA from 1 species
ACACUUGUUAUCUUCUUUCCAAAGAUUGGUACUUAAACUUGCCAAGUGAUUAUGUGGACUUUGACUUAAAAGUGAAGAUAAAGGGCCGAUACCACAAAUAUUUGGGAACGUCGAGGAGAGAACAUUCAUUACAUCCUUCUCAAGUUCACUAGAAGUAUUAAAAAUAAAAGCAGACGCUUUGUGAGCCCUUCCUGCUGCUUCAACGAUAAAUUCUACCAUCGAAUCAUUUGUAUCUGUAAUCCUUAUAAAGUCAGGCAGAUCCUUCAGUCGAAAGUUCUGCAAUCCUGGAAUACAAUCCACUUUAGUGUCCAAAUAUCCGUUUGUCAGAUAACUCUCAUCUACAUGUCAAAUUUAUAAAAGUUGUUAGCUGGAAAUAAAAUCUCCAUACUCCUAAUACAUGUCAUUUGAUUUUGAACACUUUAACUAUUCUACAUAUAUGAAGAAAGCAAGAAGAUUAAUUGUUACCUUUUAGUGGUAUGAGACCUUUAUCCAACAAUGUACUAAAAUGAAUAAAAGUCAAAAAUGUACAUGCAUUGGAUGGACUAAAGAAAACAGAAGGGAUUGAAAGUUCUUCAGAAGCUUGUAUGGUAAAAGACAUGCCAAUAUCAGAAACUAUGCAAGUAACUGGAGGGACAAGACCAGAUGUUGCAGAGUCAUUUAGUCUAGCAAGAAGUUCGCGGAAAGGUUGUAGGAAGUUCUUUCUGAUUGAUUUACAAAGAGCGUAAAUGUCUUGACUAACAUCGCCAUCACCAUCCGUUGGAGUUAAACCAUCCGGAAUAGUCUCAAAGCUAAAAUCAGUGAAACCAUCAAAGGCAUUUGGACCUCUUGACUUGAGCAACCGUUUGUGGUUGUAUUCAGUGUUUACAUAGGUUAUGUGAAAUCCUCUAAGGUGAAGAAGUUUUGCUAGUUUCAACAAUGGAUUGAUAUGGCCUUGAACUGGAUAUGGAAUUAACACAGCAUGUGGUUUUUUAUCACUCAUUUUUGAGUUUUUGUGUUUGAAUGUUGAGCUAAGGGAAGCCAAUGGUUUAAUAAAGAUAAAGCCAAUGUUUCUUGGAUUUGUGUAAAAGAAGAUAAGAGACAAAAGUCAAGGAAAGCAAACUCAAAUUCUAAGUAAUAUGUAACACAAUAAUUGAUACAUACUUAUCAAGUCACCACUUUUUGUUAUAGAAGGAAAACAAUUUUUCAUUAAAAAGUUUAUUGAACAAACUUAAGCAUGCCUUUUGGUUUGCGGUGGCGAGAAUUGAUUUGAAUGAAUUUGUUUGAUAAAAUUAGUAUCAGGUUAAAAGUGCGUUGAAUAUAAAAUAAUUUGUGUUUAUAUAAAUUUACGUAAAAUUGAUUUGAACUAUAAAUUGAAGACUAAAAAUCGAUUAUAAAAACAAAAUUUUGAUAUCUUAACUUUAAAUUACGAGCAAUUUGGAGACAAAAUCAAUUCUAUUUAAUUUGAGAACACAUAACCAUAGGGUCUGACUAGGCUUAUCUAAGAUCCCUAAUGUAACCAACUUGCAUCUAAUCAUAACUAACUUAUAACUAUCUUGAAAAAUAUCAAACUAAUUUUAACAAAUCUGAAACUAUAUCUAACACAUACUUGCAUGGAAUUGCAACCAUUCAGUAGAAAGAUAUUAUCAAACAAAAUCUUCAUAUGCUUUAGUCAAAAAAAAGGAAAAUCUUCAUAUGCUUGUGGACCAACUGAUCCAUACGUUUCAGUUUCAAAAUUGAACUAGAUGACACUUUUAUUCAAGUAAGUGUAAGAUAGUUCUGACAUCAAAGAUUUUUGUUGUACAAAGAAAAUAAUCAUGACCACUUAUUUAUUUUAUAAUAGUCUAUUGGCUAUUAUUUUCCAUGCUUGAAUCAGUCAGACAUUGGACAUCACAAAAAAAAAUUGUCCUUUUCAACAAAGGCUCAAGAUUAUCUCCAAAGUCACAAUUGCAUAAAAGCCAAAUUUACUUUUAUUGUGCAGAGAAAAGUGGAUGUAUAUUAUCAACACUGCCUUCCAUAAGGGCUUCGUGUCCUCUAAUUUUUUUUUUUACUAGUCUUUGUUAUGUCCUUUAUCAUGUCUAUGAGGUAUCAACUCAAUGGUAAGAGUUUGAGCUUUUAACCUCAAGGGAAAAAGUACAAUUCCCCUUAAUAACAGUGGUAAAAAUGCUCAUUGUUGUAACUUUAAUUAAUAAACCCUUAUAUUGACUAAUAGGAAUGUUAAAAUAUUUCUUGAAAUCUCAUGUUGAAAGUUUGUUCUUCUUUUCGGUUUGAUUAGUGUUCCCAUGCACUAGGCGCAGUUGUUUGUUGUUUUCAGCUUGUUGUAAUUUGUAGCUUGCGCAAGGCGAAGGAUAUAGCUGACUGAGGCGCAGGUGUGCAUCAAGAUCUAUAGAUAAGCAGGUUUUGCAUCAGUUUUCAGGGUAAAAAAGUGGGAAUUCUAAGGUAACAAAAGAGGGAAUUUGUAGGGUUAAAAGUUCACAUAUAUAGAUAAGAAUUUGUAGGGGACAUUGAUGAUUUCACACAAUUUGCAUUUGCAUCAUCGGUGAAUGUUUUUGAAUGUUCAUAGAGGAAAGAAACUUUGAAUUCAAAUGCUUUCAAAUCAAUCUAUGCAACAAGAAGCUGACAAAGUAGUGCAGAGAAAUUUUAUAAACGAGCUAAAGAAGAAUAUAAAUUUAAUAUUAUUAUGAUUUUGAAGUAUUGUCUUACUUCGAAGUAUGAACAGCAAUGUACCAUACUUAAGAACAUAGCAAGACCUAAAAUACAAAUGAUUUGUUCCUAACAAAACUAUAUAUAUUGUAUAAAAGUAACUUAUGUUUGAUUUUGUUUAAGCAACACCUCCUUAAUCACUUUCUCCAAGUUCAUGUAUGAACAACCUCCAGGUCUCGUGUACACCUCCGCCUUUUUCUUCAGCUCCAUGGCCUUUUGCCUCAUCUUCUUUCCUUUAUCUCAGGACAUCAAUUCAUUGACCAGUUUCUCCACGUCCUCCCUCUUUACAUUUGUAUCAAUUUCGUUUCCAAUCUUCCAUUCAUUGCAAAUAUAUCUUCAGUUUGCUGGCUGAUCUGCAAAAAAUGGCCAACACAACAUUGGAACUCCAGCACAUAUGCUUUCAGUGGUUGAGUUCCAUCCGCAAUGAGUCAAGAAUCCACCGACUGAUGGGUGGUUCAAUACUUUCUCUUGUGGACACCAACUUGCUAUUAGUCCUCUAUCUGAAAUUUCUUUCAAAAAUCAGAUGAGAAAACCACCGAGCCACCAAUGACAAGAUCAGGCCUAAUGAUCCAUAAAAAUGGUUUCUUGCUGUUGGCCAAACCCCAAGCAAACUCUAAGGCUUCUCUUGAGACUUAACAGUGAUGCUGCCAAAAUUUACAUAAACAACAGAUCCUGGUUCUUUUGAUUCAAGCCAUUCAAGACAUUUAGUAUCUUCUUUCCAAAGAUUACAGUCUAAAGAUGUCAAGUGAUUUUGUGGACUUUGAUUUACAAAAGAAGCUAAUGGACCAAUUGUGUAUAGAGAAGGGAACAUAGAAUAGAAAGCAUUCAUAACAUCACUCUCAAGUUCAUUAGAAGUAUUGAAUACCAUACCAGAAGCUCUAAGACAUUUAUCUGCCACUUCAGUGUUAAAUCUUAUCGUCAAGUCAUUAGGAUUUUUUGUCUUUAUUAACCUAGGAAGAUCCUUCAAUCUGAAGUUUUUCAAACCUGGGAUCCAGUCAACUUUCGUGUCCAGAUAUUCAUUUGUUAGAUCACUCUCAUCUGCAUGUCAUAAUUGCAAAAAUCAAUAGCUUAAAGUCAUAUGUAUAAAUAUAUAUCAUGGUUUAAAAUCACAUUAACAAUAAUAAUUUUGCCUGUGCUAUCAUAUUGAUAUUGCAUAUAAUCCCAAUCAAAUCUGGCUGAUGAAACCUCAAUUGUGAUUAUAGAGACAUCGCAACCUUGAUGUUCGGCCCAUAUUGUGACCGCAAAGCUUUUUUAAAAACCAUAACAUACACACAAAAACACACACAGAUCUCCUAAAAAGAAAAAGGGAACAGAAAUGAUUACCUUUGAAUGGUAGUUGACUAUUCUGAUACAUUUUAGGACUGAGCAAACAAGCCAAGAAAUAACAUGCUCUACUUGGGGAAAAAAGAACAACUGGGAGUGCAUGUUCUUCAGCAGCAGCUACUGUAAAUGGCAUGUAGCAAUCAGAAACUAAGCAAGUGACUGGGGGGAUAAGACCAGCAGUGGCAGAGUCUUGAAGUUUAGCAAGAAGUUCAUCAAAGAAGUGGUGAAAGUUCGUUAUGAUUGAUUCACCAAGAGAGUGUAGGUCUUGACUAAUAUCACCAUCACCAUCCUUUGGAGUUAAACCAUCUGGUAUAGUCUCAAAGUUAAAGUCAGUGAAACCAUCAAAGGCAUUUUCACCUCUUGAUUUAGCAAACGUUUGUGAUUGUAUUCAGUGUUAACAAAGGUUUAUGUGAAAGCCUCUUAGGUGAAGCAGUUUUGCUAUUUUCAACAAUGCAUUGAUAUGACCUUGAACUGGAAAUGGAGUUAAUUAACACUGCAUGUGGCCUUUUCUCUUCAAAGUUGGUCAUGUUUGAUAUUUUUCUUAUGUAAGAAAACAGAGAAAAAACUGAGGUGAAAAAUCUAUGAGGCCUCUAUAACAAUGAGUAAGUUUUGUUACAUAUCUAUUAUCUAUUAUAUAGUAUAAAAAAAUUCUUAAGAAUAGAAAAACCAUUUUUUUUUAAUAAUUCAAUUACUGUCUAAUUCAUGUUUAUCUAAUUUUUAGUAUUUUAAUAAUUGAGAAGAUAAUAAUAUUUUUUUUAAUGUUGACGUUCCGAUUUUUAGAGAAAAUGGGUUCUGAUAAUUUGGAGUUCGGUCGUGAGGUAAACAUCACCUUACCAAGAAUUGAGAAGAGAAUAAAAUAAAAUAUAAUAACAUGAAUCUAACUGAAAAAUGAGGAGAUUGAAACUCCGAAAGCAACGUCUGCAUGUUGAAAGGAGACCACUUUCUAUACACACACAAUGGUGUUCAGACGGGUACAGACUUGCCAAUCUAUUUAUUAUGACCAACUAAACAAACAUACGAUUUUUAAACGUUAUCUAUGCGGACAGACUCUGGACCAUUGUUCAAGUCACAUGACUUUUAAACGUUAUCAAUUUGGUGCGCUUUUAAUCGAUUUUGAGGCUAAAAGACAUCCCAAUCGUAAGAUAAAAGAGUAUUUAGUUUGGUUUGGUUCAGUUGAUUUUUAAAAUAAAAUUUAAACCAAACCAAACCAAUAUGAUUUGAGUUGUAUUGGUUGAUGCGGUUUUUUUGAGACAAUACAAUUUUUUGUUUCCAACAUUAAAAUCGAGUUAAAAAGCUAUAACACAACAUAUUUUCAAUAAUGUUUGAAACAAUGUUUUCAAUUUCAUCCAACAUUACAAUUUUAUUUUCACAAAACAAAAUAGACGAAAUUUAAAAUGUGGACAAAAAGUAAUCCUAUUAUUUAAUAAAUGUAAAAGAUUAAGAUUUAUUAUUCUUAAAAUUUUAUUUUAUAAUUUUUUUAAUUUUUGAAAUAGAAAGCAAAGAAGAAACUUAACGUACAAGGGAAAAAAAUAUGCCGUUUUAUAAAAGUUUUUAUUGAGUUUCUAUGAGUAUUGGUGUAGGUGACAUAGGUUUAAUUUGGUUAGGUGACAUAGUUUCUAUGAGUAUGUCGUUUUACAAAAUAGUUUUUUUGCAUUUUUUGGUAUAUAAGAAGAAACAUAAACUAGUAUACAUAUGAUUUUUUGACAAAAUGGAUCCUUCACAUGAUAAUGGAAUUCAAGAUACUGUGAAAGAAUUCUUAUUCACCCAACUUAACAUAUUUAAACUUGUAGGAUUUAUAUUAUAAAGUUAAUAUACAUGCCAUAUAAUUAUCCAAUAUGCAUAUAUUCAAAACACUUAAAAUUAGCAAGAAUCACUAUUUAAGUUCAGGAACUCUUGCUGAAGAUGACUUCACUUACAUCAGAACUUAAAUUCAAUAGGGGAAGAUCAAUUAAUUAUCGUUGAACUGAAUUGCAUAAAAAAGUUACUUAAAUUGAUUUUGUUUAAGCAAAACCUCCUUGAUCACUUUGUCCAAGUUCAUGUAUGAACAACCUCCAGCUCUCGUGUUUUCCUCCACUUUCUUCUUCAACUCAAUUGCCUUUUGCCGCAUCUUCUUUCCUUUCUCUCCUGACAUCAAUUCAUUGACAAGUUUCUCCACCUCUUCUCUCUUUACAUUCGUAUCGAUUUCCAUCCCAAUCUCCCAUUCAUUGUAAAUAAGUCUACAGUUUGUUGGCUGAUCACCAAAGAAUGGCCAACACAACAUUGGAACUCCAGCACAUAUGCUUUCAGUGGUUGAGUUCCAUCCGCAAUGAGUCAAGAAUCCGCCAAUUGAAGGGUGGUUCAAUACUUUCUCCUGUGGACACCAACUUGCAAUUAAGCCUCUAUCUGAAAUUUCAUUCACAAACUCAGAUGACAAAACGACUGAGCCACCAAUGACAAGGUCAGGCCUAAUGAUCCACAAAAAGGGUUUAUUGCAAUUGGCCAACCCCCAAGCAAAUUCCAACAGUUGUUUUGGUGUCAUAACUGUAAUGCUUCCAAAAUUCACAUAAACAACGGAUCCCGGCUCCUUGGAUUCAAGCCAUUCAAGACACUUAGUAUCUUCUUUCCAAAGGUUGGAACCUAAAGAAUCCAAUUGAUGAAUUUGUGGAGUUUGGUUUAAUAAUGAAGGUAAAGGGCCAAUGGGGUAAAGAGAAGGAAACAUAGAGGAGAGAGCAUUUAUUACAUCACUCUAAAGUUCAUGGAAAGUAUUCAAAACAAUUGUAGAGUCUCCAAGAACUUUAUCAGCCGCAUCAAUUACAAAGUCUAACAUAAUAUCAUUUGGAUCUGUUGUCCUGAUACUGUCAAAGAUAUCCUUUAACCGAAAGUUUUUCAAACCUGGAAUCCAAUCUACAUUAGUUUCCAAAUAUCCAUUUGUUAGAUAGCUCUGAUCUGCAUAUCAAAUGUAUCAGUUAAUAUCUUGAAGGUUAUACAUACAUCCGUACAUACAUGAGUAUUUUGUUUUCGACAAAAACAUACAUAUAUAAUAAGGUAUUAUAAAUUGAAUAAAAGUCAUUUAUUGAUGUAUAAAUUUUAAUUUUGAAGUUUUAUGAAAUUUGUGGAGUUCCUCUAUUCAAUAAGAGUUUUUAAUUUGAUGGUUGCUUUAUUGAAAUUUAGUGUCUACAUUGAGUUUUAUAUUAACUGAAACUAUAUCAAGUGUUACUCUUGGAGUAAGUUGAUUAUCUCGCACACGACCAUUUAUAUAGAUUUAAUUCAUAUAUAGAGUCAAAGUAAAAGUUUUUUACACCGUCAAUAAAUCAUAAGUGUCAGAAUAGUGUAGCAAAAUUAAUAUUAAUCUCUCUAUAAAUAUAUACUUUAUGAAGAAAAAAACUUAACUUAGUACCUUUGAGUGGCGUGAGACCUUUUUCUACAAAGGAACGUAAGUGGUGAAUACUCAGUAACAAACUUGCACUGGAUGGAAAGAAGAUAACAAUUGGUAGUGCAAAUUCUUCAGCAGCUUGUAUAGUAAAGCUCAUAAAAUAAUCAGAAACUAAGCAAGUAACUGGUGGAACAUUGGCAGAGUCAUUAAGUCUUGUAAGAAGUUCACAAAAAGGUUUAAGGAAAUUUUUUCUUAUAGAUUGAGCAAGAGAAGGUACAUCUUGACUAACAUCACCAUCACCUUCUAUCGGUGUUAGACCAUCUGGUAUGGUUUCAAAGCAAAAACCACGGGAACCAUCUAAGGCAUUUGGACCUCUUGAUUUUAGCAAUCGUUUAUGAUUGUAUUCAGUGUUGACAAAGGUUAUAUGAAAUCCUCUAAGGUGAAGAAGUUUUGCAAGUUUGAACAAUGGAUUUAUAUGUCCUUGAAAUGGAGCUGGAAUCAACACAGCAUGUGGUUUUCUGUUUGCAAAACUUCCCAUCUUUGAAAUUUUUCUGUUUGUAUGUUAUUUGUGCAAGAUAUGAGGUUGAAAAACAAGUGAUAGGCAUGUGCUUUUAUAGAGAGAAAAAAGGACAAUGCUACAAAAUUGAAAAAUAUAAAGAAAUCCAAACAGAUAAAUUCUGGGAGGUUCUAACAAAAGGAAAUAAGUUCAUUGUAUGAAAAGACAGACACAUAAAAAGACACCAAAAAUGACACUGACACGUUAACGUCAAUGAUAAUUUGAGAAAUAAAUUAAUUCAAUGUAAUUACAAUGUGUCUGACAUAAAAUUGAAAUCUUAUACAGGUAUGUUCUUGUAAACUUUCCUAUAUGACUCAUUAUAUUGAUUGAAUAUGUUUGUUGGUAUUUGGUUUAACCAAUCAAUGUGGCAUUAACAAUUCAACUGUUACUUGUUACUUAGAUGUCGUUUGAGAUUUAUUUGGGAAUUGAUAAAAUAGAAAAGUUGAGAAAAACUUUAUAUUGUGAUCCUAAAAUCACUAAUAUAACCAAAUUGAAUCUAACCAUAUCUAACUAUCUUCCAAAAUAUUAAACUAAUUUUAACAAAUCUGAAACUACAUCUAACACAUACUUGCAUGGAAUUGCAACCAUUCAGUAGAAAGAUAUUAUCAAACAAAAUCUUCAUAUGCUUGUGGACCAACUCUAUACGUUUCAGUUUCAAAAUUGAACUAGAAGGCACUUCUAUUCAAGUAAGUAUAAGAUAGUUCUGACAUCAAAGAUUUUUGUUGUACAAAGAAAAUAAUUAUGUCCACUUAUUUAUUUUAUAAUAGUCUAUUGGCUAUUAUUUUCCAUGCUUGAAUCAGUCAGACAUUAGACAUCACAAAAAAAAUAUUAGUCCCUUUCAACAAGGGCUCAUGAUUAUCUCCAAAAGUUACAAUUGCAUAAAAGUCAAAUUCACUUUUAUUGUGCAGAAUAGUGACUAGUGGAUAUGUUGUCUUCAUUAUCAAUGGUACCUUCCAUAAGGGCUUUGUGUCCUCUAAUUUUUUUACUAGUCUUUAUUUAUGCAUGUAUUAUAAUCCUUUAUCAUGUCUAUGAGAUAUGGGCUCAAUGGUAAAAAUUUCAGCCAGUAAUCUCAAAGGACAAAGUUCAAACUCCCUUGAUAACAGUGGUAAAAUGGUCAUUGUUGUAACUUUAAUUAAUAAUUCUUAUUUUCACUAAUAAGAAUGUUAAAAUAUGUCUUGAAAUCUCAUGUUAAAAGUUUUUUUUCUUUUCGGUUUGAUUAUUGUCCCCAUGCGCUGGGCGAAGCUGUUUGCUGUUUUCAUCAUGUUGCUAUUUUGUUGCUUGGAUGAGGCGAUAUAGCUAAAUGAGUCAUAGGUGUGCGUCAAGAUCUAUAGAUAAGCAAUUUUUGCAUCAGUUUUCAGGGUGAAAAUGUGUGAAUUUUAGGGUUACAAAAGAGGGAAUUUUUAGGGUUAAAAGUUGAGAGCUUUUGGAAAAAUUAUAGGAUUAGGAAACAUUUUUGUACAUCUUGGAAAUAAAGCAUCGAGUCUUUUGUCCAUCGGAAGAGAAUUGGGAAAAUUGUAACCCUUGUAUUUCUUUGUAAGAAACUCUUUGUUAGUGGUAAGCCAGAUUUGGGUCGAACUGGAUAACUUUGUUUUGGUUGUUGCUAAUAUUUCUCCACACUUCAAAGUAUUGAUGUGAGUUUUUACAAAUUCACAACAACUGGAACCCACCGUGGGAGAAAUAAGAGGUAACUUUUUCAAGUGUGCAACAUGGGUACCAACUGGGAUAUCAAUAAAUUUAUCGGAGACAACGAUUUGGGGCUGUGAAAAGUGAAGAUGAAAGAUGUGUUGAUUCAACAAAAGUUUGCAGAAGCACUGAAGGAUGAGGUUGCUCUCCCAGCUACCAUGUUACAAGCAAACAAGACCGAGAUGGUGGACAAGGCCAUGAGUGUCAUUGUCUUGUGCCACACUGAUAAAGGUUUUAGAGAAAUCGUAAAGGAGCAAUUGACGAGUCCUACAAAAUCCUUGAUGAUUUGACAACUAUUAAAGUGGAUAUUGAGGAUGAAGACACGGAUAUACUCUUAUUAUUAUGAGCAUUAGCUAGAUCCUUUGAGAACUUCAAGGAUACUAUGCUUUAUGGUAAAGAAGUCAUUGUCACUUCGAGGAAGUCCAAGAGGCACAUAACCAAGUCCAAGAACUUGAAAGUUGAUGAUAGUGGUGAAGACAUGAGUGUCUAAAGAGGAAGACGUAUAAGUUGAUGAAAUCGAGGAAGCUCAAUUGAUGGUGCAAGUUGAAGUACAAAUACUCCAAGUGUCAAACGACCGGUCACUUCAAUAAGGACAUUCCCAAGUUAGAGGACAUUAAUGAUUCCGCACAAUUUGCAUUUGCAACAUCAGUGAAUGUUUUUGAAUGUUCACGGAAAGAACCUUUAAUUUCAAAUCAAUCUAUGCAACAAGAAGCUGAUAGUGUAGUGCAGAGAAGUAUGCUUUUGAAGUAUGAUUUCCAAGACAUCCUUAAUCACUUUGUCCAAGUUCAUGUAUGAAGAAUCACCAGGUCUUGUGUCCUUCUCUGCCUUCUUCUUCUUCAACUCCACGGCCUUUUGCCUCAUCUUUUUUCCUUUCUGUCCCACCAUUAAUUCAUUCAUCAGCUUCUCCACCUCCUCUCUCUUCACAUUUGUAUCAAUUUCGAUUCCGAUCUCCAACUUAUUACAAAUAUAUCUGCAGUAUGUUGGCUGCUCAGAAAAAAAAGGCCAACAUAACAUUGGUACUCUGGCACAAAUGCUUUCCAAUGUGGAGUUCCAUCCACAAUGAGUCAAGAAUCGUCCAACUGAAGGGUGGUUCAACACUUGCUCUUGCGGACACCAGCUUGCUAUUUGGCCUCUAUCCGAAGUUCCAUUCACAAACUCGGAUGACAAAAUAACUGAGCCACCAAUGACAAGCUAAGGCCUAAUGAUCCACAAAAAAGGUUUCUUGCUGUUGGCAAAACCUCAAGAGAACUCUAACUGCUCUGGAGUCAUAACCAUAGUGCUUCCAAAAUUCACAUAAACUACAGAACCUUGUUCCUUAGAUUCAAGACAUUUCAUAUCUUCUUUCCAAAGAUUGGAACCUAAAGAAGCCAAGUGCUUUUGGGGAUUUUGAUUCAAAAACGAAGAUAAAGGGCCAAUGGCGUAAAUAGAAGGGAUCUUAAUAGAUAGAGCCUUUACUACAUCACUCUCAAGUUCAUUAUAAGUAUUGAAAACAAUAGCGUUAGCUUCAUGAACCAUAUCGUCCGCUUCAAUGAUAAAAUUUAUCAUUAGGAUCAGUAGUUCUUAUAAAAUCAAGCAGGUCCUUUAGUCUAAUGUUUCGCAAACCUGGAAUCCAGUCAACUUUAGUGACCAAAUAUCCAUUUGUCAGAUAACUCAUCUGCAUAUUAUAAUCACAAAAUCCAUUAGCUUAAAGUUAAAACUCUGAACCCCUAAUAUAUAUCAUAUUAAUUCUAAUACUACAUUCUAUGUUGUAUACAUACUCUCAGUUUCUCCAAAGGAAGAACUUCCAUAGUAAAACUAAACUAUAGUAAUGAAACUCUUCACUUCUGCAUAAUAGUCCUACACUAUCGAUAAAGAAAGAACAUAAAUGAUUACCUUUGAGGGGUAUGACACCUUUAUCAAUAAAUGUACGAAAGAGCAAAGCACACAAAAGUGAGGAUGCACUAGCAGGAAUAAUUCAAUAUCAGAAACUAAGCAACUAACAGGAGGAAUAAGAUCAUCAUUGGAAGAAUCUUUUAAGUUUAGCAAGAAGUUCACAAAAAGGGUGAUAGAAAUUCUUUCUUAUUGAAUCAUCAAGAGAGACAAUUUCUUGACUAAUAUCACCAUAACCUUCUGUCGGAGUUAAACCAUCUGGAAUAGUCUCAAAGGUAAAAUCAGUGAAACCAUCAAAGGCUUUUGGACCUCUUGAUUUGAGCAAAUGUUUGUGAUUUCGGUGUUGACAAAGGUUAUGUGAAAGCCUCUAAGGUGAAGAAGUUUUGCUAGUUUCAAUAAUGGAUUGAUAUGGCCUUGAAGUGGAUAUGGAGUUAUGCUUACUGAUAUGAGUGAGAAGCAUAAGAAAAUCAUAAAUAUAUUUGACUUUAAUAGGUCCCCCAAAUCAUUGGAAUAUAAAAGUUAGGUGCACAAUUUUUCAUCAAGAAUUUGUUUGCAGCACGCAUUGGAAGUUUGUUUAUUUUUAUUCUCAUUAAGAAUUUGUUGGCACUGCACAUGCAUAUACAAUUGUUUCUUGGUUGAAAAAUAAUAUAUUUUUCAUGGUUUAUACUAUUUCAAUUCUUUUCUUGUUGAUAGUUGAAAUGGCAAGAAUCGUUGAAAACUCGCACACAUAAGUGGAGAAGUUUGGAUUCGAAACCCCAGUUACGGAGUUGGCCUAACAAUUUUGUUCUUUAUUGUCUAUUAAGCUAGAACUUGUCGACAUUUAUUUCCUGUUUUUUAUCAGACCAUACAUGUGAAUUUGAAUUGCAUGCAAGCACAAUUUCCACGCGAUCAGAAUUAAUUCAAUCAACAGCUCGGAGUCAUUUCAUCAAAUAUUCGACGUCUCUUAUUGUAGGAUAUGUGAAUCCAUUUUAAAAGCAAACUUAAAAUUGGAGUCGUCCAAUGUUAAUCUAAUAUCUCCGAGCUGCGCUGGCUGAACAAGUGCCUAAAAUUGUGAUUGUAGACAAAGGUUGCUAGUAAAAAUACUUCCUUAUCUUAGUUUUAAACGAUUCAUUAUAUUGCAUCUAAAUAGAAAAUAGAGAAAAACAUAAAAUUUAUAGUUCUGUUAUUGAUGAAAUGAUUUCCUAAAAGAAAAAAGCUUUGAAACUAUAACCUCUACGUACCGAGAAAUAGAAUGCUCAUAUACAUAUUCCCACCAAUAUUUUUCACUUCAAAUGAAUGUAACUAAAUGUAUCGGGGUCGUUUAGGUGUCAAAUAUCAACAUGUGAAGUGUCAAUGCUACACACUUUAAAACCUUCAACCUAAGUAAGCUUACCAUGUCUAUUUUAUUUUAAAACUGAUUUCUAUUUUAGAGUAAAAUAUUUACUUAUGACUUGUAUUUAAUUAGUUAAUCCUGAUAAAACUAUAAAUCUUGUAUAGAACGAUAGAACGAUAUUAAUUUAAACCUGUACACACAGAAAAAUGAUUGGUUUGCCUUAAUUUAUCCUAUACAUGAUAAUGGAAUUCAACAUAGUGUGCAAAAGCCUUACCUACCCCAUAUAAUUAUCCAAUUCAAUACAUUUAAUAUUAGCAAGAAGCACUAUUUUAGUUUAAGAAUUCUUGCACAAGAUAUGUUCGAUACAGUCAUCAUGAACUCAUUACUUAUUCACUACAAUAGCCUCAUCCCUUAAAUUCAAUAGCAGAAGAUCAAUGGAUCAAUAUAAUACUACAUUGCAUUAAAAACGUCACUUAGGUGUGAUUUUAUUUAAGCAAAACCUCCUUAAUCACUUUUUCCAAGUUCAUGUAUGAACAACCACCAGGUCUCGUGUCCUCCUCCGCCUUCUUCUUCAUCUCCAUUAUAUUUUUCCUCAUCUUCUUUCCUUUAUCUCCCACCAUCAAUUCAUUGACCAAAUUCUCCACCUCAUUUCUCUUCACAUUAGUAUCGAUUUCGAUUCCAAUCUCCCAUGUAUUGCAGAUAUAUCUACAGUUUGCUGGCUGAUCAGCAAAAAAUGGCUAACACAACAUUGGAACUCCAGUAGAUAUGCUUUCGGUCGUUGAGUUCCAUCCACAGUGAGUCAAGAAACCACCAAUUGAAGGAUGGUUCAAUACUUUCUCUUGCGAGCACCAACCAGCAAUUAGGCCUCUAUCUGAAAUUUCAUUCACAAACUCCGAUGACAAAACAACUGAGCCACCAAUGACAAGAUCGGGCCUAAUGAUCCACAAAAAGAGUUGCUUGCUAUUUGCUAAACCCCAUGCAAACUCUAACAGUUUUUCUGAAGUCAUAACUGUCCUGCUCCCAAAAUUCACAUAAACAACGGACCUCGGUUCCUUUGAUUCAAGCCAAUCAAGACACUUGUUAUCUUCUUUCCAAAGAUUGGUACUUAAACUUGCCAAGUGAUUCUGUGGACUUUGACUUAAAAGUGAAGAUAAAGGGCCAAUAGCAUAAACAUUAGGGAACGUCGAAGAGAUAACUUUCAUUACAUCCUUCUCAAGUUCAUUAGAAGUAUUAAAAAUAAAAGCAGAGGCUCUGUGAGCCCUUCCUGCUGCUUCAAUGAUAAAUUCUACCAUCGAAUCAUUUGGAUCAGUAAUCUGUAUAAAGGCAGGCAAAUC